rnacentral:rRNA from 1 species
GACGAACGCUGGCGGCGUGCUUAACACAUGCAAGUCGAACGGAAAGGCCCUGCUUUUGUGGGGUGCUCGAGUGGCGAACGGGUGAGUAACACGUGAGUAACCUGCCCUUGACUUUGGGAUAACUUCAGGAAACUGGGGCUAAUACCGGAUAGGAGCUCCUGCUGCAUGGUGGGGGUUGGAAAGUUUCGGCGGUUGGGGAUGGACUCGCGGCUUAUCAGCUUGUUGGUGGGGUAGUGGCUUACCAAGGCUUUGACGGGUAGCCGGCCUGAGAGGGUGACCGGCGACAUUGGGACUGAGAUACGGCCCAGACUCCUACGGGAGGCAGCAGGGGGGAGUAUUGCACAAUGGGCGGAAGCCUGAUGCGACAACGCCGCGUGCGGGAUGACGGCCUUCGGGUUGUAAACCGCUUUCGCCUGUGACGAAGCGUGAGUGACGGUAAUGGGUAAAGAAGCACCGGCUAACUACGUG